rnacentral:rRNA from 1 species
AGGGUUCGAUUCUGGCUCAAGGAUUAACGGCUGGCGGCAAUGCCUAAUACAUGCAAGUCGAAUGAAUUAGAUUCAUGGCAAACGGGGUGAGUAACACGUAGGUAAUCUAACCAUAAAGACAAAGGAUAACCAUUGGAAACGAUGGAUAAGACUCGAUAGGACACGAAGUCGCGAUGACUUUGUGUUUAAAGGUUACGCUUUAUGAGGAGCCUGCGGUGCAUUAGCUAGUUGGCGGGAUAAAAGCCCACCAAGGCGAUGAUGCAUAGCUGGACUGAGAGGUUGAACAGCCACAAUGGGACUGAGAACGGCCCAUACUCCGUACGGGAGGCAGCAGUAGGGAAUUUUCGGCAAUGGGGGAAACCCUAGGACCGAGCAAUGCCGCGUGAACGAAGAAGUAUUUCGGUAUGUAAAGUUCUUUUAUCGGGGAAGAUAAUGACGGUACCUGAUGAAUAAGCUCCGGCUAACUACGUGCCAGCAGCCGC